GCCCUCUUAGCUCAGUUGGUAGAGCACCUCCAUGGUAAGGAGGGGGUCGACGGUUCGAGUCCGUCAGAGGGCU
rnacentral:tRNA from 6 species